rnacentral:misc_RNA from 1 species
UGUACCUUUCAGUUCCACCAAAUGGACACUUCCAGUAUCUCCACAACCCAAAGGUCGAACUGGUUUAAAGUUAUUGAGCCCUAAUCUUUCACCAUUUGCAGUGACCUUAUGUAUUGCGGUCCAUAAAGCACUGUGUCUCUUAUGAGGCCGUGGAUAGACAGGUAGAGAAUGUAAAGCCCACAAGUCUUCAGGUCUCGAGUUGGCAUCAGGAAGUUCUCGAACUGCUUCAUCUACAUUUGUUGCAGUGGCUUUGACCAACUUAGCACUUUGUUUUUCAGUUUGUUCUGAGAGGCGGUUUCUUA